rnacentral:rRNA from 1 species
UACGAAGGGUGCAAACGUUGCUCGGAAUUAUUGGGCGUAAAGCGCACGUAGGCGGCUUAGUAAGUUGGAUGUGAAAUCCCUCGGCUUAACCAAGGAAGUGCAUCCAAAACUACUGAGCUUGAGUACUAAAGAGGAUCGCGGAAUUCCCGGUGUAGAGGUGAAAUUCGUAGAUAUCGGGAGGAACACCAGUGGCGAAGGCGGUUGCCUGGGGCUUUGCUGACGCUGAUGCGCGAAAGCGUGGGGAGCGAUCCGG